CGAACGGGUGAGUAACGCGUGAGGAACCUGCCUCAAAGAGGGGGACAACAGUUGGAAACGACUGCUAAUACCGCAUAAGCCCACGGGUCGGCAUCGACCAGAGGGAAAAGGAGCAAUCCGCUUUGAGAUGGCCUCGCGUCCGAUUAGCUAGUUGGUGAGGUAAUGGCCCACCAAGGCAACGAUCGGUAGCCGGACUGAGAGGUUGAACGGCCACAUUGGGACUGAGACACGGCCCAG
rnacentral:rRNA from 1 species